rnacentral:tRNA from 1 species
GAAGAAUUUUGAGUUCUUAGGACUAGGUUCGAAUCCUGUGAUUCU